GUCCCAAAAGGAACCCUUGUGACAGUGACCAUACAGGUUGGAACCAGUUGUGUGCAGCUCAGCGCCAGUCGCCAGCCUUUUGUGCCUGCGUUCAUCACCGUAGCGAUUCUCUUUACUGCGUGCAGUAUUUUUUACAUAUUGGCUUGCCCUGUGGAAGUCAGUUCUACAGGGAGAGCCUGAUGGUGGGCAAGAGCUGCCUGCUGCAGAGUCCGGCCCGCGGAGUGUUGCUGCUCAGCCACUGAGGGCGCCGUUCCUGGAUGCAGGCAGAAGCAUGGGCAGCCCCAUGCCGUCACCUCCCUCACAACCAUCCCCCAGUGAGCUGCGCUCAGUGCCCCGCCAGGUGUGCCAAGGAUGCCAGCAAAGACAGCAUUGCUAGGUGAUUUGAAGAUAGUAAAGUUGGAACUUAAAAACUCCCAAAAAUUCAAGGCAUUUUGUUUAAUCUUGGUGAAGUCAUGCUCCUUUAUGUUUAAAAGUGAAUUGAAUCCCAGGAUUAGUUGUAAGUAAAUGGUCUUUUUUGAGAUGUGUUAUGCUGUUGAGCCUGGUUUCCAACUCUUGAAUUCAAAUGCUGCUUCUGCCUCGGCCUUUGACCAGCUGGGACUACAGAUACAGGCUGAUUGUGACCAGUUUGUCUUUUUCUUCUAAGUAUGCCUAACUGAAGACACUUUUGUGCUGGACUUGCCUACUCAGGAGGCUGAGGCAGAAGGACCCAAGUUCAAGUCCAGCCUGGACAAUUAAGAGACCCUGCCUAAAACUUAAAGAGGCCUGGGAACAGAGCUCAGCAGUAGUGUUUGCCUGGCAUGUGUGUCCCUGGGUUUAGUCCCCAACACUGCACCCCAAAAUUAAACCUCUCAGUGAUGACUCA